AAUGAAACGCUGGCGGCGUGCUUUUACACAUGCAAGUCGAGCGAGGCGGGUAGCAAUACCCAGUCGAGCGGCGAACGGGUGAGUAACGCGUGGAUUAUCUGCCCUGAGGUGGGGGGAUAACCCGGGGAAAACUCGGGCUAAUACCGCAUAUGACCGUGAGGUCAAAGGGGGGCUCGCAAGGGCUCUCGCCAUAGGAGGAGUCCGCGUUCGAUUAGCUAGUUGGUAGGGUAAUGGCCUACCAAGGCGACGAUCGAUAGCCGGCCUGAGAGGGUGAUCGGCCACACUGGAACUGG
rnacentral:rRNA from 1 species